rnacentral:lncRNA from 1 species
UUUUUGUUUUUUUUUAAUGCCCCGGUUGGCUGUUCUGCUGAUUCUCGAGAUGCAGCUGAGUGAUCUUCUUUUCUUGCUCAAGAAGUCGGGAAAUCUCGUCAGGAAUCCCUUCAACAUCAUCUUCUUCCGCUUCGAAUACAGGGAAUUCAAAAUUGGGAGAUGACGUCUGAUCAUUAUGUUCAAUGGGUUUAAGAAACAACCUGCAUAAUGAUUUAGAGAUGAAAAGCUUUUUGAAAAACAAACAAGACAA